CCUUGCCAACAAAGGAAGUUGAGCCAAAACCAAGGUUUGUCAAAAGAAGCCAGAUGACUCCACAGUCUUUACAUCACCACUCCAUCACCAUAGCCACUAAGUCCCAUAGCCACUGGAUGUUCCCACACCUCUCCCUCCAUCUGCACUUCAUGGCUUGAUACCUUGCAGUGAUGAUAUGAGUAAUCAUGAUGCCACCAUGUACCAAGAAUUACCCACAUCCUAUUUUCCCCUUACCCCUCUGAAGGAAAUAACCUCUGUGUUCUUGAACAUAUACACAACCCAAUCCCAAAAUCCUGCUUUGAGAUUCUGUUUUCGGAGCAUAAAUUGAACCAACUGUCCUAAAGCUACACAGAACAAGAUAGGCAUCUUCACCAGGAGACGAAAGAGCCCUGAUAGCCCAGAGCAGGGUGCAGAGCCCAACAAGAACAGCGUUCACACGCGGGGGCAGGCCAGUGAGGUGCGUCAAAGCCCCAGCAGGAGGCAGAGGAUAUCCCUGCCGGAAAGUGCCAGCAGUAGUAGUAGACACUACAACAGUGAAGGUGGGUGAGGAUCCACCUCGUGGAUCAUCACAGACGAGGAGGCAGCAUUCCUCACCGAUCCUGCGCACAGAGCUGGCUAACACAAAGCUAGAGGCCGAGGAAACAAAGACAGGCCUGAGGAGGACUGCCCUUCUGAACUGAAGCUGUCAGCAUGGGCUUGGAAGAAAUUCUCUCUGGCAUCAUGUGGCUCCACAGACAACUCCUAACUUAAUUUGGUCACACUUGCUUCCUUAUCUUGGAAUCUGAGGCACUGUUCUCUGUCUCCCUGUUCUGCCUCUGAGGAUGGCUCCCUAACCUCUACCCUGCUGGGAUCCUGCACUCCAGCCCGAGUGGGCCCCUCCAGACCUUGCUGUGGGCUGGCCGGUCUGCCUGGUUGGACCUCUGCCCACACCGUCUCACUCAAAUUGGACCUCUGAUGUUGACCCUGGCCUGUUCCUUGAACAAGUCUAUGCUUUAUGAUAAAUUUGGAUCUUGCUACCCCAUUCCC
rnacentral:lncRNA from 1 species